AUGAAGAACGUAGCGAAAUGCGAUAAGUAAUGUGAAUUGCAGAAUUCAGUGAAUCAUCGAGUCUUUGAACGCACAUUGCGCCCCCUGGUAUUCCGGGGGGCAUGCCUGUCCGAGCGUCAUUGCUGCCCUCAAGCACGGCUUGUGUGUUGGGCCUCCGUCCUCCUCCCGGGGGACGGGCCCGAAAGGCAGCGGCGGCACCGCGUCCGGUCCUCGAGCGUAUGGGGCUUCGUCACCCGCUCUUGUAGGCCCGGCCGGCGCUUGCCGACACAUCAAUCUUUUUUCCAGGUUGACCUCGGAUCAGGUAGGGAUACCCGCUGAACUUAAGCAUAUCAAUAAGCGGAGGA
rnacentral:misc_RNA from 1 species